ensembl:lncRNA
UGAAAGUCACAUUUCAGGAUUGGGAAAGUAUUUUUUUAAGCCAGCCACCCACCCCUCGUUUACCUGUCGCCUCCAGCUGCUUUUUCUCUCUGGAACAGCAGGCUUGAAGAGUAGUGACAGGCCAGACCCUCUGGCCAGCAGAGCUGAAAAUACUUGCUCUCUGGUCCUUUACAGGAAAGUCUGACUGCCGACUCCCAGGAGGGUGUGUGAUGUGGGGGAAAGGAGUGCCAGCCCACAGCUGUGAGGACAGAGGUGGUGUCCAGCGUGGUGACGGGUGUGGGAGGAGAGCCCUGGGGACUGCCCCUGGGACCCCCAGACAGCCGGUCAGCAGAGGUCUCUGCCCUGUGUUUGCCUCUGGCCCCUGAAUCUGGCAGUGGCUCUUUGCAACAAGGUUCCCAGGGGUAGUGGGUGAGCUGUGUGGGGGACCCAUUUCCCCGUUGGGUCUCUCAUCUUCAGAAAUAGGCGUUCAGGCCAGAGAGUGAGAAGUUGAAUUUUGCUCCCUGCACAGAGCUCCACGCCCAAAGGUGAGGGGGUAGCAGUCCCAUCUCUGCAUUGGUCGCAGUGUGCUGGAGGGCAGCUCAGCUGUCAGUGUUACUUUGGGCAGUUUUUUACAAAUGAAAGUCUUCUUUUGAAACUUCAGACAUACAAGCGGGGUUCCCAGUGUCCAUGAGGAUGCAGGUUUGAUCCCUGGCCUCAAUUAGUGGGUUAAGGAUCUGGCGUUGCUGUGGCUGUGGUGUAGGCCGGCAGCUAGAGCCCCGAUUCGACCCCUACCAAGAGAAAAGAAUCUAAAGAUCCUUACGGACCUUUUAAAACACCAGGGGGAGGAGUUCCCUUGUGGCACAGUGGGUUAAGGAUCUGCACUGUCACUGCAGUAGCUCAGGUCACUGCUCCGGGGCAGAUGUAAUCCCUGACUUGUGAAUUAGUAUGAGCUAGUGAAUUAGUAUGAGCUAAUGAUUUUGAGGGGUCAGAAGGAGGUAUUCGUCUGUGACGUAUAGUUUAUUAUUUAAUCUUUCUAGUCACCUGUAGAAGCCAUUCGCUUUUCUGUUGAACACAACUUUGUUCUGAAUUGGGGUGUUCUUAGGGAGAUUGCUACCCAAUUGAGCAGCUGUGGGUCUGGGCCCAAGGAUUUUUCACAUAACUUUUUUUUUUUUUUUUGCUUUUUAGGGCCACACCCGUUGCAUAUGGAAAUUCCCAGGCUAGGGGUCGAAUCCUACCCCUACACCACAGCCACAGCAACACCAGAUCUGAGCCGUGUCUUCGGCUUACGCCACAGCUCAUGGCAAUGCCAGAUCCCCAACCCACUGAGCAAGGCCAGGGAUCAAACCCGCAACCUCAUGGAUACUAUUUGGGUUCAUUUCCACUGCACAGCACAACAGGAACUCCUCACAUGACUUUUUUAUUGCUGAUGGCAACAAAAAUACAGAGGGCAUGAAAAUCAUUUGUGGUUGACAGUGGCUAGGAAGGAAUUAGUACUCGGAAUUACAUCAGUAGUGUAGAAUGCUAGGACCAAACCUAGGAAAUAGAGUGUAACAGAGCAAGUUAAAACCUUGCACCGAAUUUCUUUUUUUUUUUGGUCUUUUUAGGGCUGUACCCAUGGCAUAUGGAAGUUCCUGGGCUAGGGGUCAAAUCAGGGCUGUAGCCACUGGCCUACACCACAGCCACAGCCACGCCAGAUCCCAGCCUUGUCUACGACCCACACCACAGCUCACGACAAUGCCGGAUCCUAACCCACUGAGCGAGGCUGGGGAUUGAACCUGUGUCCUCAUGUACUAGUCAGAUUCGUUUCCACUGAGCCACGCUGGGAACUCCUUGCAUUGAAAUUUUUAUUUUAAAAAUAUCUUUAUAGCGUGAGGACACUGGCUUGACAAUAUUCAAGAGGAAAAAGAUCGAGGGUGGCUUAUUUUAUUUACGAAGCAGAGAAAACCUGUCGAGUUUUGGGUUUUUUCCCCCAGAAGGAUGUAUUAAGUUGUAUUGCACCCAGAUGGACAAAAUGCUAACCAAGUAACACUCUGACCAGGUGAUGCCCGAGCGGUUGCUUCCGACGUGAUUGACACUUUCCACCAGCAGUUCUGUGAGCCGUAGUAGUGAGGAGACCCCCAAAGCAGAGGGGGUGAGAAGUGAUUGAGAACUGGGGUGGAGGGGGUGCCGUUAACAGCUCACGUUAGCUGUGUUCAGUGCCUGAGAGGCUGGGCUGUGGGCCCUUCUGUUCUGCUCGCGGAAGACCUGGACUAGAGCCCUUCCCGCGAAGCAGGGGUAGGCUGCUGAUGAAAGCCUUGCUGAAACAGCACGUGCUCAGGACUGGAAAAGACUGGUCACAGUUUGAAAGGAAACGCCUAUGGUUUCAGGAGUUCCCGUUGUGGCUCAGCAGGUUGGGAGCCCAGCAUUCCUCUCUGUGAGCAUGUGGGGUCGAUCCCUGGCCUUGCUCAGUGGAUUAAGGAUCUGGCCUUUCCCUGAGCUGUGGCAUAGGUCGCAGAUGCGGCUCGGAUCGGGUGUUGCCAUGGCUGUGGUGUAGGCCUUAGCUGCAGCUCCGAUUCAGCCCUCUCGUGGGAACUUGCAUAUGCCCUGGGUGCAGCUGUAAAAAGAAAAAAAUAAAAACCUAUAUGGUUUCUAAGUUUCUAACUUGAGUAUUAUGGUGUUUAUGGGUGAUGAUUAUUGCCACUUAAAGAUCUGUCUGAUUCAUUAAUUUUACUGAUGGAGUUCCCGCUGUGGCGCAACAGGAUGGGCGGUGUCUCAGCAGCGCCAGGACACAGGUUCAAUCCCUGGCUUGGUACAGUGGGUUAAUGGAUCCCGCGCUGCCACAGCUGUGGUGCAGGUUGCACUUGCAGCUCAGAUGUGAUCCCUGGCCCAGAAACUCCAUAUGCCGUGG